rnacentral:rRNA from 1 species
UAGGGAAUCUUCCGCAAUGGACGAAAGUCUGANGGAGCGACGCCGCGUGAGUGAUGAAGGUCUUCGGAUCGUAAAACUCUGUUGUUAGGGAAGAAUAAGUAUCGGAGUAAUAUGCCGGUACCUUGACGGUACCUAACCAGAAAGCCCCGGCUAACUACGUG